ACAGGGCUUUAUCUUUUGGCACCCACAGCGAGCGAUUUACCUAUUUGUUUUGGUAUUUGGUUAAUCACUUGCUGUGGGCACACUAAAUAGUUAACAAAAUUUUAAUUUAGAAAGGCUUAUUUUAUCCAGUGACUGACUAUAGUCAGAAAAACUUGCAGUUCAUUUCUUUUUUUUUUUUCUUUUUUUUUAAUUAUCAGUGGUGCAGUCAGUGUGAGAGGAAGGAUGACUUGGUCAUCUGGGACUGGGCCUGAAAUGGUCAAACCUGCUUUUUUGUACCUGGGGCCUGCCUGGAAGGACAACAGCUUCUGGACAUGACAAAAACUGGACAAGGAAGGCGAGUGCUUGAUUUUACUCAAGAACUGAAGAAUGCUGGUUUACGGGGAAACUUCUGAAUGUAAGACUGGCUGGAGUAUGUUUCUUGAAGCACUGGUGACUUUUUGAAGAGCCUCUGCUAAUGAGUGGAAACCUGCCUUCUAUUUCUACAGUUUAUGUUUAAUCCUGCUUUCUUCUGGGGAAAGUCUGCUCACUUGCCCUCUGGAAUAAAGACUGAAGUGUUUAAAGAGAAAGUUUGUACAGGGAUCUGUUAUUUUCCCUUCUGUAAAAGUUAGCAUUUUGUUUAAAACUGUUAUGUAUCAUUAAUCUUCACAGGUAGUGUAAAACAUUAUUUCCCCAAUUACUCAACCCCAUCCAUGCUGCCAGAUCCUCUUCAUAUCUUUCCUAAGCACCAUCCCUUAAUCUGUGUCAUUUUCUUCCUCAACCUACUCCCAUUUUCACGUCUCGUCCUUAUUUCAGUUACUGUAAUUCUUUAGUCUUACUAUCAUUUCUUCCCCCUUUCUCAUUAUCACUCAUUUUUCCACAAGCAUGUAUUUUUUUUUCAUCUGAACCACUUAAAUUGCUAAUUUGAUACUUGUCUAUAACUGUAUGUACUUAAACAACAUUGAUAUGCUGUAUGCUUUUUUUGUAAUUUCAGUUAAUCUUCUUGUUAAAAAUAUAUCAGAGCUUUUCUCUUUAGGCCAUUGCUGAAAAGAGGCAUUGUCUAAUUGGUCUUUUCCAGUAAACAAAUGCCAGAAAAUAAAUAAAAACUUCAA